AUAGGUGGUUGUGAGCCACCAUGUGGUUGCUGGGAAUUGAACUCGGGACCUCCAAAGGAAUAGGCAGUGCUCUUAACCACCAAGCCAUUUCUCCAGUCCACAAAAGGCCUUCUUAUUGUUACACAGUUCACACCUUCAGCAAGUCAGUUUCCAUACACCAAAAUGUCUUAUCUGAGCCCCCCAAAGAGACAAUGCCAAUGCAAAUUUUCUGUUGAGACAUCUUGCCUCCAGCAACCAGGUUUUGGUUUCAACAGUUUCAACCUUUAGAAAACUGUCAGAUAAGAUUUAGAUACUUCAAACAGAAGGUACUGGAGACAAAAGUUAGCAGUUACAAAAGUCAGAUCAAAGCUAGGUGCCAGCACUCCUGAAUCAAACCAGGUGUAGAAGUAAGGAAAUCCCCUAACAUAUCCCCCUUUUGUAUAUGCUACAAUUAAUUAUACUGGAAAUUAUCUAUCCUUUUCUCUAUCUGUUUUAUAGUAUUAUGUAAGUAAGCCCAAACAGUUUACAGCCAGUAAGGUUACUAUUGCUAGAACAAGAAUAACACUUGCUAAAACAAGAAAUCAAUUAAAGUGAUAUGAGGUUGAAUGAGGCUAUGGUAUCUGCAAGACCUUCCGUAGUAUCCAUUCCUGUUGUAUCAGGUGACUUUUUUGUAAAAGUCUCCUUAAUUUCUUGCUGUAAAUCAUAAAGCAUUUGAGAAGAAUUAGAGUGACCCAUCAAGUGCCCAUAACCUUUCCUCAGUCGUACUUGCUAUUAUUGGAUUUUAAAGGUGUAAUACAAUAGGAUGUUGCAUCCCAAUCACAUUUAAUUUUAUCUGCUCCUUUAAUAUUUCUAACUGAUCUCCCAAAAGUAUAAUAGCUUGUCUCAAAUCUCUAUAUCAUUGACUGUCUCACUAUUUUAUUUUGCUGAGUCCAAAGUUCUGUAGAAUGCUCAUGCCUAUGUCUGAAGAACUCAGCAGCUUGCAUUUCUUCAUGAAACACCACUCCAGCUUUUGCAGCAGCAGCAGUUAAUGCAGUAUUCCCAUAAUAACUGCCAUAACCAGUCCAACCAUUUGACAUGUUCUUUCUAAUAUUCCCUCAGCGAGCAUCUGUACCAGGAUCAUCACAGGAUGUAAAAGAUGGUGGAUCCUAUCAAAGCUGAUAAAAAUCCAGUGUGAGCAAGAGUCUCUUGGAUGCUUCAGUUGGUGAGAUAACUGCCGUGCCUCUGGGGGAAAAGGAUACAGAGGCUUCUGAAGCAGACAACUAAUCCUCCCACCUGGGAUAGCUGAAGAGUGCUACACAUCUGUUCCUUGCCAUGCUAUCUGUGAGUGCUCCUGAAUGAACUGGGCAUGCUCAGGAACAAGUGUGACUGGAACAGAUCUGGAUUUCCCUUUCCUCUAUUCUCCUGAGUCCAGCUGUACCAUCUGUCAGAAGAUAGGAACUGGCUUAUGUUGAGGAAGAACAGAGAGGGUUGGCAUUCUCCCCAGAGACACACAGCAUGGACACGACCCAGAGAAGGACGGGAAGGCCAGGCUCCUCUUAAAAGCUCCAUUGGUAUCUAGAAACUUCUCAGGUUGGAACAAAGCAGGUCCUGGAACUGGCCAGGGCCAUGAAGGAUGGAGUAGAGCAGUGAGAGAACUGUGUCCCCUGCAGGAGGAGUUAGCACAGAUGACCAAGGCUGCCUACCCAGGGCAGCACACAGAGGUGGCUUCCUGGCAUUUGUCCCCAAUGCUCUAGGGCCUACUCAGCCCUAGGGACAGAGCAUGUGAGAGCAUGGGCUAUGAGGUCUGCUCCCUCCCAGCAGGAUUUCUGCAGGCUUCUCCCUUUGCAAGGUCUCAAGGGCUAGAGCCAGCCUCAGGAAUGAAUUCUCAUCUUCAGCCAAAGGAUGGAGUCUUAGAGGCAGAGGCAGGAAUGUGCCCUGCUUCCUGUAGCCACAGGUCGAGUCCCACAGCAUGAAGUGGUGGGAUCCCGAGCAGUCUCCCUGCUUGAGACAGAAGCUUCGGAGCACCAGUCCUCAGACUUGUCUGUCUCUGUGAGUCUUCACUGCGCUGUUUCUUCUUGAUAGAGCAUCUGGGAGCUCAGCCCUCAGCCAGGAGCCAGGAACCUGCCCAAGGCUCUGGCUAGGUUGCGGACUGUUCAGUGACUUUACCCCUCCAGAACUCACCUAACCCAAAUUUAUAGAACCCUCUGGGUCCCGAUUGGCUGAGUGUGUACACACAAAUACACACACACACACACACACACACACACACACAAAUAAGGUGAAAAUGGAGCUAAUCAGAGAAGAGUUGUCAAAAAUCUAGUGGGAAAGGGAGGGAAACUAGUUCACAAUCAGGUCAGUGCCUACCCACCUUUUUGCUGUCCAAAGAGCUCCUAUCAGUUCUGGCUCACCCUCUCCAGAAACUGCUAUGGGGUGAGGUUCUCCACCCCUUCCUUCCUGUUGCUACUGUCACUUUGAUCAUACACCCACCCACAUACAUCACUGCCUGCCGCCAUCAGCUGCUCCACUUGGUUCACCAUGGCAGCUCUGUCUGCCAAUCCCAUUCAGCUGGGGUUUGUGUUUCUUUCCCAGCUGCCUCAUUUGACAGGUUGAGUGCCUCGCUCUGGGUCGUCAAAUAGUAAUGCAGAGCAGUCGGAAGUCCUAUCCCAUUUCCCCUUCUCUUUCACAAUGAUCUCUGAGCCUUAGGUGCAGGACUGUGCUGUUGGUUGUGGUCACUUUAUUCUGUUUUCUCCAGGGUAUUGCUGUGUUGAUACCUCUGGCUUCAAGGCAUUCAGAGAUUUGGAAGCUAGCAGCCACAGCCUGAGGACUAUCUAGUGACUUUCUAGAUGUGCCAUCUAUGAUGCUAAUCCACAGUAUGAGAACUGCACAGAUUUAUACUUUCACUGGUUUUGAGACAUGGUCUCACUAUGUAGCCCUGACUGUCCUGGAACUCACUUUGCAGCUCAGGUUGGGCUGGAAUUCACUGAGAUCCACCUGACCCUGACUUCUGCAUGCUGGGAUUAAAGGCAUGUGCCCCACCACUGGCUCAUACACUUUUAUGUGCUUAGUUAGUGCUACAUUUGUUUCCCUAAAGUUGCCACCAUGAACACCAAAUGUUUCAUUGUUCUGAAGUUCUGGUGUAGGUCUUCUGUCCCUAGACUUACAAAUGAGAAACCCCAAAGCAAAGAUACAUACACGUGACUUACAUCACCAUUUCCUUUGUGGCCAGUCUGUGUACACUAUUAAACAUUUACAAUAUGCUUUACUUAUUUUCUUUAAAAAGUUUUUUGUAUGUUUGUGUGUGUGUGUGUGUGUGUUCAUGCUUAUGUUUAGAGGUUAGAUGGUGAUGCUAGCAUCUUCUUCAGUUGUUGCUCCAUUUAAUUAAUUAGUUUAAUUAAUUAGUUAAUUAGUUUGAGACAGAGGUUUUCACUGUACCUGUAGUUCGCCAUUUCUGCUAGACUGGUUGAUUGGUCGAUGAGACUUGUCUCUACCUGACCCACCCUGCAAAUGCUGGGGUUCCAUGUAUAUGCUCCAUGUUCAUGCUUAGCUUUAUGUGGGUAAUGGGGAUCCAAAUUUCAGUUCUUGUGCUUGUGAGGCAGGUACAUUUCUGACUGAGCUAUUUCCCCAUUUAGAGACAUAGUCUCUAAAAGAAGACAUUAUGGUGCAAGAUUAGACCUGUUGAUCUAUCAGGAGGGCCAUGUGUGGAAUCAUCCUUAGUCACUCAGUCAUGAUAAUGUUGAUGGUUUCUGGUCCUGGAUAACUGAAAUUUCUUUUGCUGAAAACACUUGGGGAAAACCAUUAUUUCUGUAUGCAUUUUUAUGAAUUAUGUAUUUUUAAAUGAAUUAUGUAUUUUUAAAGGAUCCAUUUCCAGAGUGAUGGAGUUGUAGGUAUGUGCCAUCACAUCCACUGUGUCCCAUGCUGAGGAUGAAAUUCAGAACUUGGUGAAUUCUGGGAAAAGACUCUGUCAUCUUAGCCACAUCCUCAGCUAAUUUUGUCCUAUAAUGUCCUGUAAUGAGCUCAUGUAGUGUGAUGCUCACACUCACUUUAUGCAAUGCUGAAGAUUAAACCCAGAACUCUGUGCGUGCUAGGCAGGCAUUCUACCAACUGAGCUACAUCUCCAGCCAAUAUUGUCCUAUGAUGCCUCCUUAAUUUGAAAGAUUCUGUAAAUGAUAGUGUUAUUUAUGUGGUUCUUGCUCAGUUUCUAUCCCCCUCUUCCUCUGCAGAUGAGUCAAUGUGACCUCCAAUUCUUCAUUUGUAAUCAAUUCUUUUGUAGAUAUCAGGAUAAGAAACAAGUUACAACAGAGAAGAUAAAAUUCUCAUCGGAGGCAUACACAUAUGUACAAGCUCCCAUGAUCCAUAUACAUGAACUACACAAGUUUAUCCCAGUUUCUGUUUUCCUAGGUGAAUGAUGAAUAACAAAGUACAGAAGUAAAUGGUUGUGUGAAGGAUUG